AGGGAAUCUUCCGCAAUGGGCGAAAGCCUGACGGAGCAACGCCGCGUGAGUGAAGAAGGUCUUCGGAUCGUAAAACUCUGUUAUUAGGGAAGAACAAAUGUGUAAGUAACUAUGCACGUCUUGACGGUACCUAAUCAGAAAGCCACGGCUAACUACGUGCCAGCAGCCGCGGUAAUACGUAGGUGGCAAGCGUUAUCCGGAAUUAUUGGGCGUAAAGCGCGCGUAGGCGGUUUUUUAAGUCUGAUGUGAAAGCCCACGGCUCAACCGUGGAGGGUCAUUGGAAACUGGAAAACUUGAGUGCAGAAGAGGAAAGUGGAAUUCCAUGUGUAGCGGUGAAAUGCGCAGAGAUAUGGAGGAACACCAGUGGCGAAGGCGACUUUCUGGUCUGUAACUGACGCUGAUGUGCGGAAGCGUGGGGAUCAAACAGGAUUAGAUACCCUGGUAGUCCACGCCGUAAACGAUGAGUGCUAAGUGUUAGGGGGGUUCCGCCCCUUAGUGCUGCAGCUAACGCAUUAAGCACUCCGCCUGGGGAUUACGACCGCAAGGUUG
rnacentral:rRNA from 1 species